AGAAUAAAUAAAAUCACGAAAAUGGUUUCAACAGGAAUCGAAGUGAGGAACAGUAUUAGUAUAUCCUAUCAUGUUGCUAACCUAGCUUAAAAUAAGGAUUAAAAUAACAAAGGCUAAGUAGGAUAGGAUAAGUAAUAGGUUUAUUUUAUCCUUUCCAAUUAAUGCACCAAACAAGAGAUUUGAAUAGGAUAGGAUUGUGUUAUCAUAUCCUGUCUAUCUAUCCUGCGCACCAAACGGGCCCU
rnacentral:lncRNA from 1 species